CGGGACGCAGCAGCAGUGAGGAAUCUUGCGCAAUGGGGGAAACCCUGACGCAGCGACGCCGCGUGGGUGAUGAAGGCCUUCGGGUCGUAAAGCCCUGUCGAGAGGGAAGAAUUGCAUUUAGGUUAAUAGCCUAAUUGUUUGACGGUACCUCCAAAGGAGGCACCGGCUAACUCCGUGCCAGCAGCCGCGGUAAUACGGAGGGUGCAAGCGUCGUUCGGAAUCACUGGGCGUAAAGGGCGUGUAGGCGGCUGAGUAAGUCAGGUGUGAAAUCCCUCGGCUCAACCGAGGAAGUGCAUUGGAUACUGCUCAUCUUGAGUACUGGAGAGGGAGAGGGAAUUCCCGGUGUAGAGGUGAAAUUCGUAGAUAUCGGGAGGAACACCAGUGGCGAAGGCGAUCUCCUGGACAGAUACUGACGCUAAGGCGCGAAAGCGUGGGGAGCAAACAGGAUUAGAUACCCCGGUAGUC
rnacentral:rRNA from 1 species